rnacentral:tRNA from 1 species
AGCAGCUAAGUAUUCAGCUGCUAACUGAAAGGUCAGUGGUUCGAACCCACCAGCUGCUC